GUGGGGAAUAUUGGACAAUGGGCGCAAGCCUGAUCCAGCCAUACCGCGUGGGUGAAGAAGGCCUUCGGGUUGUAAAGCCCUUUUGUUGGGAAAGAAAUCCUGUCGAUUAAUACUCGGUGGGGAUGACGGUACCCAAAGAAUAAGCACCGGCUAACUUCGUGCCAGCAGCCGCGGUAAUACGAAGGGUGCAAGCGUUACUCGGAAUUACUGGGCGUAAAGCGUUCGUAGGUGGUGGUUUAAGUAUGCUGUGAAAGCCCUGGGCUCAACCUGGGAAUUGCAGUGGAUACUGGAUCACUAGAGUGUGGUAGAGGGAUGCGGAAUUUCUGGUGUAGCAGUGAAAUGCGUAGAGAUCAGAAGGAACAUCCGUGGCGAAGGCGGCAUCCUGGGCCAACACUGACACUGAGGCACGAAAGCGUGGGGAGCAAACAGGAUUAGAAACCCCAGUAGUCC
rnacentral:rRNA from 1 species